rnacentral:rRNA from 1 species
UGGGGAAUAUUGCACAAUGGGCGCAAGCCUGAUGCAGCCAUGCCGCGUGUAUGAAGAAGGCCUUCGGGUUGUAAAGUACUUUCAGUCAGGAGGAAGGUGGUAAGGUUAAUAACCUUAUCAAUUGACGUUACCGACAGAAGAAGCACCGGCUAACUCCGUGCCAGCAGCCGCGGUAAUACGGAGGGUGCAAGCGUUAAUCGGAAUUACUGGGCGUAAAGCGCACGCAGGCGGUUGAUUGAGUCAGAUGUGAAAUCCCCGGGCUUAACCCGGGAAUUGCAUCUGAUACUGGUCAGCUAGAGUCUUGUAGAGGGGGGUAGAAUUCCAUGUGUAGCGGUGAAAUGCGUAGAGAUGUGGAGGAAUACCGGUGGCGAAGGCGGCCCCCUGGACAAAGACUGACGCUCAGGUGCGAAAGCGUGGGGAGCAAACAGG